rnacentral:rRNA from 1 species
AUUGAACGCUGGCGGCAGGCCUAACACAUGCAAGUCGAACGAGUGGCGGACGGGUGAGUAAUGUCUGGGAAACUGCCUGAUGGAGGGGGAUAACUACUGGAAACGGUAGCUAAUACCGCAUACCAUGAGAUGUGCCCAGAUGGGAUGAGCUUGUUGGUGGGGUAACGGCUCACCAAGGCGACGAUCCCUAGCUGGUCUGAGAGGAUGACCAGCCACACUGGGAUUGAGACACGGUCCAGACUCCUACGGGAGGGAGCAGUGGGGAAUAGUGCACAAUGGGCGCAAGCCUGAGACAGCCAGGCCGCGUGUAUGAAGAAGGCCUUCGGGUUGUAAAGUACUUUCAGCGGGGAGGCGUUACCCGAAGAAGAAGCAACGGCUAACUCCGUGCCAGCAGCCGCGGUAAUUC